rnacentral:rRNA from 1 species
UACGUAGGGUGCAAGCGUUAAUCGGAAUUACUGGGCGUAAAGGGCGCGUAGGCGGACAGUUUAGUCAGAGGUGAAAGCCCAGGGCUCAACCUUGGAAUUGCCUUUGAUACUGGCUGUCUUGAGUACGGGAGAGGUGAGUGGAACUCCGAGUGUAGAGGUGAAAUUCGUAGAUAUUCGGAAGAACACCAGUGGCGAAGGCGACUCACUGGCCCGUUACUGACGCUGAGGCGCGAAAGCGUGGGGAGCGAACAGG